rnacentral:rRNA from 1 species
GUGCCUAAUACAUGCAAGUCGAACGCACAGCGAAAGGUGCUUGCACCUUUCAAGUGAGUGGCGAACGGGUGAGUAACACGUGGACAACCUGCCUCAAGGCUGGGGAUAACAUUUGGAAACAGAUGCUAAUACCGAAUAAAACUUAGUGUCGCAUGACACAAAGUUAAAAGGCGCUUCGGCGUCACCUAGAGAUGGAUCCGCGGUGCAUUAGUUAGUUGGUGGGGUAAAGGCCUACCAAGACAAUGAUGCAUAGCCGAGUUGAGAGACUGAUCGGCCACAUUGGGACUGAGACACGGCCCAAACUUCCUACGGGAGGCUGCAGUAGGGAAUCUUCCACAAUGGGCGAAAGCCUGAUGGAGCAACGCCGCGUGUGUGAUGAAGGCUUUGCGGGUCGUAAAGCACUGUUGUAUGGGAAGAACAGACUACGAAUAGGAAAUGAUUUUAGUUUGACGGUACCAUACCAGAAAGGGACGGCUAAAUACGUGCCAGCAGCCGCGGUAAUACGUAUGUCCCGAGCGUUACUCCGGAUUUAUUGGGCGUAAAGCGAGCGCAGACGGUUUAUUAAGUCUGAUGUGAAAGCCCGGAGCUCAUACUCCGGAAUGGCAUUGGAAACUGGUUAACUUGAGUGCAGUAAGAGGUAAGUGGAACUCCUAUGUGCUAGCGGUGGAAUGCGUAGAUAUAUGGAAGAACACCAGUGGCGAAGGCGGCUUACUGGACUGCAACUGACGUUGACGGCUCGUAAAGUGUGGGUAGCAAACAGGAUUAGAUACCCUGGUAGUCCACACCGUAAACGAUGAACACCUAGGUGUUAGGAGGUUUCCGCCUCUCUAGUGUACCGAAGCUAACGCUAAUUAAGUGUUCCGCCUGGGGAGUAGCGACCUGCAAGGUUGAAACUCAAAGGAAUUGACGGGGACCCGCACAAGCGGUGGAGCAUGUGGUUUAAUUCGAAGCAACGCGAAGAACCUUACCAGGUCUUGACAUCCUUUGAUAGCUUUUAGAGAUAGAAGUGUUCUCUUCGGAGACAAAGUGACAGGAUGGUGCAUGGUCGUCGUCAGCUCGUGUCGUGAGAUGUUGGGUUAAGUCCCGCAACGAGCGCAACCCUUAUUGUUAGUUGCCAGCAUUCAGAUGGGCACUCUAGCGAGACUGCCGGUGACAAACCGGAGGAAGGCGGGGACGACGUCAGAUCAUCAUGCCCCUUAUGACCUGGGCUACACACGUGCUACA